GGAAAUGACUAUAUUCAAUGGAUUUUGUUUAUCAGAGACCAUAGAUUGUAGUUUAUGGGUCUUUUCAUCGAAGUUGUCAAUGUUCUGUGUAUAACAUUGUUACAGCAGUUUCCUGAACGGUUCUUUACAAUUAAGUUGUCUUGAUCUCUGAGGGACUGCAGUUGGAAGAGCAGAGAAGGUAAUUUGGCUUUCGAUCACCACAGUUUUCCAAAUGGGUAAUUCUUAGAAUGGGAUUGUCAAUGAUUCUGGUUGACUUCAGUUAAUAUUAGACUCUUCAUUAGGGUUGACAGGAUCUGCUUUGGGAACAGGGUAAGAAAGUCUAUGGGGAGACAAUCUGAAUAAAAAAGGAAUCCAAUAUUCUCUGUUUGGCAUAUGGAUGGUUUCCAAAACCUAUCCCUUUUAUGCCUUAUCCCUGUUAAAAGAUUAUAGUUAAUAAGCACUAAUAAGAAGAUAAGCAGUUUAAAAGGGUAGAAAUUGAUAUCAGCAAAAAAUUUACCAAAAUAUACCAAAAUGAUAAAAUAGUAAAAUAAUUGUUGUUGAUUGAGUGAAAAAGACCAAUAUAAUAAAUAUGAUCAGCUUCGAAAUCAUGAGAAAGAAUAAAAUGAUUAGCCCAAGCAGGUAGGGGCAAGUUUCCUGGGGCUAAGGUGGCUGCUUAACAGGUCUCUAGAGUCUAGGUUUGCCUGUCAGGGGUCAGCAUAGACAUUACCAACUAUAAUAAAGUUUGGGCUAAUGAGCAAACAGCAGCUUUAGUUGCUUUCCUUAGAGCUUUAAGCCUUAAGAACCAAUGCUUAGCUCAGCAGUGUCAGUAUGCCUUUUAAAAAGUUGCCAUUUGCGUAAGUUGAAUCUGACAUUUUAUGUGUUUUAUAGCAGACCAUAAAUACUUUUAACUUUAUAAAUAAUAAAACUAUGAAUGGGAUAAAUACUCAAUAGCAUUAUUAAUGGGUUUUCAACCUAGGGACCAUGAGUGACAACUUGCCUAUAAAGCAGUUAUAUAUAGUUUUUGUUUAGUUUAAACUGUGGUUCUAUUUGUUUACACAUUAAAUUUGCCAACCUGAAAAUUAUAAAAUUUUUAUUAUUUCCUCUUAAUUUAUGAAAAAAAUUGCUGAGCUUACAUUUAAGUCAACAUUACCUGGAAUCAGUAGAAUAGGAAUUGCAUUUCUUCAUUCCUCUUUGGGAAUAUUUGCCACCUGGCACUGAUAUAAUGAAUUCAUAUACAAUUCAUAGACUGGGGAUUGGACGAACUUAUGAAGCCCGUUAUUCAAUACUCUAUGAAGAAACUGAGGUCUGACAAGUGUGACCUGAAGCCAUUUCCUUGUGUAUUUUAAACCUUUCAAUUUGAAGUGGAUUAUGAGAGACAACUGGGAGCAUCCAGACUCAAGAGCUGUGUGGAGGGAUCUUUGCUGUGAUCCCUCUGACAACACAGGUAAUCACUCAUAAAGAAAACCACCUCACAAAUAGAACUCACCUUUUGGCCUCAGUUGGAUAGCUGAAGUAAAAAUCUUUGUCUGGUACCACUGUAAAUGUUCCAACAAUAUGCCCAAAAUAAAUCAUUUAAUUGAACAUGA